rnacentral:rRNA from 1 species
GACAUAGGUGGCGAACGUUAUCCGGAAUUAUUGGGCGUAAAGGAUGCGUAGAUGGUAUAAUAAGUUAUUGGUGGUAAAUCGAGGCUCAACCUCGUGGAAGCUGGUAAUACUGUUAUACUCGAGGAUAGGAGAGGUUAACGGAACUCCCUGUGGAGUGGUGAAAUGCGUAGAUAUAGGGAAGAACACCAAAGGCGAAGGCAGUGUCCUGGGUGGUCGCUGACGCUGAGAGGCGAAAGCCAGGGGAGCGAACGGG